CCACAGUAUAUGUGUUCCUUGUUAAUUUACAGUGUUUGCAACAUGUCUAAGGUUCACUCAACCUCUGAACAUCAAUCAAACUGCACAACAAACAGCCAACCAGAGUGAAACCCAAAUUUACUCCUCUCUUCUUCAUGGUGAUACUUCAGUCUAUGAAUCGGUCAGAGUCUCUGGAAACACCGGAAGUGGGUGGACCAACAGAUGAAUACAGAAAUGUCACAUCUACUCUUCAGACUGAAGGUUUUGAUAAAAGGAGGAGACAUGACAACACAGAGGAGAGCUCUGACUACAAUAAUGUGAAUCUUGAAUCAGCCUCAGGUCCAUAAAAAGAAGUGGUCAACAACACAUCCAGGUACCUUCAGGGUUAGACCUGGAUUUUCUGUACUAUGAAGGUGGUUCACUUCUUACCAGAAUAUAUCACCAUGGUAAC